GAUGAACGCUGGCGGCGUGCCUAAUACAUGCAAGUCGAGCGAACAGACGAGGAGCUUGCUCCUCUGACGUUAGCGGCGGACGGGUGAGUAACACGUGGAUAACCUACCUAUAAGACUGGGAUAACUUCGGGAAACCGGAGCUAAUACCGGAUAAUAUAUUGAACCGCAUGGUUCAAUAGUGAAAGACGGUUUUGCUGUCACUUAUAGAUGGAUCCGCGCCGCAUUAGCUAGUUGGUAAGGUAACGGCUUACCAAGGCAACGAUGCGUAGCCGACCUGAGAGGGGGAUCGGCCACCAUGGACCUGAGACACGGUCCAGACUCAUACGGGAGGCAGCAGUAGGGAAUCUCCGCAAUGGGCGAAAGCUUGACGGAGCAACGCCGCGUGAGUGAUGAAGGUCUUCGGAUCGUAAAACUCUGUUAUUAGGGAAGAACAAAUGUGUAAGUAACUAUGCACGUCUUGACGGUACCUAAUCAGAAAGCCACGGCUAACUACGUG
rnacentral:rRNA from 1 species